GCCUUCGUGGUGUAGUGGUCAGCAAGCUGGACGCGAAUUCCAGAGGUCCGUGGUUCGAGUCCCGGCGAAGACG
rfam:Stegodyphus mimosarum contig93778, whole genome shotgun sequence.